GUCCACGCCCUAACGAUGGAUACUCGACAUUAGCGAUACACAGUUAGUGUCUGAGCGAAAGCAUUAAGUAUCCCACCUGGGAAGUACGACCGCAAGGUUGAAACUCAAAUGAAUUGACGGGGUCCGCACAAGCGGUGGAGCAUGUGGUUUAAUUCGAUGAUACGCGAGGAACCUUACCUGGGCUAGAAUGCUGGGGAGACCGUGGGUGAAAGCUCACUUUGUAGCAAUACACUGCCAGUAAGGUGCUGCAUGGCUGUCGU
rnacentral:rRNA from 1 species